GGACCAUUCCACGGUUUCCGUGACGCAGCUAACGCAUUAAGUUCCCCGCCUGGGGAGUACGGCCGCAAGGCUAAAACUCAAAGGAAUUGACGGGGACCCGCACAAGCGGCGGAGCAUGCGGAUUAAUUCGAUGCAACGCGAAGAACCUUACCAAGGCUUGACAUAUACGAGAACGGGCCAGAAAUGGUCAACUCUUUGGACACUCGUAAACAGGUGGUGCAUGGUUGUCGUCAGCUCGUGUCGUGAGAUGUUGGGUUAAGUCCCGCAACGAGCGCAACCCUCGUUCUAUGUUGCCAGCACGUAAUGGUGGGAACUCAUGGGAUACUGCCGGGGUCAACUCGGAGGAAGGUGGGGAUGACGUCAAAUCAUCAUGCCCCUUAUGUCUUGGGCUUCACGCAUGCUACAAUGGCCGGUACAAAGGGCUGCAAUACCGUGAGGUGGAGCGAAUCCCAAAAAGCCGGUCCCAGUUCGGAUUGAGGUCUGCAACUCGACCUCAUGAAGUCGGAGUCGCUAGUAAUCGCAGAUCAGCAACGCUGCGGUGAAUACGUUCCCGGGUCUUGUACACACCGCCCGUCAAGUCAUGAAAGU
rnacentral:rRNA from 4 species